rnacentral:tRNA from 1 species
GGAAAAGUUUCCAUAGGUAGGGUAAGGUAUUUGCUAAAUAUUAUGUUUUACAUCUAGGUGUUCAAUUCACCUCUUUUCCG